UCCAUUGACCCAAGGACACUUGAACCUUGGGAGGGGCUCUUUCCUUGCAAGUCAGAUUUCAUUUUACAGAUUUCUCUCUCUCUAGAACAGAAACCUUGCCCUAACUCAAGUGCUCUGACUUCUCUCUAGGUUUCCAGCCAUUUCCACCGAUUGAAUCCUAAUUUGGUGGUGUUUUCUUGUUCAUGGAGUCAAGAGCUACGAAACCAUCCGAUUGGUUUUGCGUUCCAGCGGGUUCUGUACAGUUUCGCACGGUGUAGGGGUAGUGUUAGAGCAUCUGUGAACUGUGUUGAGCAACCCACCAGAGGAGAAUGAGGCCUCAGUGGAGAAUGUCUGGAGGGGAAUGAGGAAGCAGCUUCUUAGUCUCUCUAGGAAUUCCAUAGCUUUCCAUGUAUCUGAACAAUUCCAGUUCUUGUAUUUUGAAGUACUUUAGUAUUUCACGUUUUAAAAUUUCUUCUACAUUCCGGAUUACUGUAAUCCUUAAAUUUUAAUUUCUUAGAACCUUAUUUGCUAUUUUAUUAUUCUAACUGUUUUCUAUUAUCAUUUA